rnacentral:rRNA from 1 species
ACGCUCGACACCUACGGGAGGCAGCAGUGGGGAAUAUUGCACAAUGGAGGAAACUCUGAUGCAGCGACGCCGCGUGAGGGAAGAAGGUCUUCGGAUUGUAAACCUCUGUUGUCGAGGGACGAUGAUGACGGUACCUGACGAGGAAGCCACGGCUAACUACGUGCCGGCAGCCGCGGUAAUCUGAGCGGGCUGGCAAGGC